AUUGAACGCUGGCGGCAGGCCUAACACAUGCAAGUCGAACGGUAACAGGGAGCAGCUUGCUGCUUUGCUGACGAGUGGCGGACGGGUGAGUAAUGUCUGGGAAACUGCCUGAUGGAGGGGGAUAACUACUGGAAACGGUAGCUAAUACCGCAUAACGUCGCAAGACCAAAGAGGGGGACCUUCGGGCCUCUUGCCAUCGGAUGUGCCCAGAUGGGAUUAGCUAGUAGGUGGGGUAACGGCUCACCUAGGCGACGAUCCCUAGCUGGUCUGAGAGGAUGACCAGCCACACUGGAACUGAGACACGGUCCAGACUCCUACGGGAGGCAGCAGUGAGGAAUAUUGCACAAUGGGCGCAAGCCUGAUGCAGCCAUGCCGCGUGUAUGAAGAAGGCCUUCGGGUUGUAAAGUACUUUCAGCGGGGAGGAAGGGAGUAAAGUUAAUACCUUUGCUCAUUGACGUUACCCGCAGAAGAAGCACCGGCUAACUCCGUG
rnacentral:rRNA from 1 species